rnacentral:rRNA from 1 species
UUUUUAUUUAAAAAUAAUUUAUUUAAUUGAUUAUAUUUUUAAAAUUUAUUGGGGUGAUAAAAAAAUUAAAAAAACUUUUAUUUAUUAAUAUUCAUAAAUUUAUGAAUUAUAUAUUUAACAUUAAUUUAAAAAUUUAGAUUAAAA